rnacentral:lncRNA from 1 species
AUGGGAGUGCAGAGCCCAAAUCCCCUAGGAGGGCCCAGCUGCCAGGUGCAUUCAGAGCAAGCAGAUGGGACCAGUUCUCAUACAGAAAGCAGCCAGAAGCAAGACCUUCCACACAGGUCUUGGGUGGAAGGGUCUCUGGUUUUGGGUCUCUUCAAGUUUGCAGACCUUAAUAUAGUUAAUUUACUAGUGGGAUGUGAUGUGAAUAUGAGAGACUUAUCUUUAAAUCCCUUGUCCUUGAUUUGGAAGACAGGACUUGAAUAUGAUUCCAAAAGAAAUAUUUAAUGCUCUGCUGUAAAGUCAGUCUGUAUAUUGAUUUCUGCACUGUUUAAAGCUAGGUAUAGUACUGUCCUAACCUAACAACCACUUUAACUUUCCCUCUUUAUGCUUGCUUUCUGUCCUGUGUGGGAAUACAGUCCAGAAGAGGUAUGACUGAAGGGAUGAACACAGCACUGACAUGGGAGCUCCUAUAACCCAGGCAGGAGACACCACAUGUGUAUGUGCACAUUCCCAGCACCGAUCCCAGAAGUACACAUUAGACAGACCAUAUAGACCAAGAGAAUGCAGAAGUACCACGAAUGGGUUUUAGAGAAGACACUCUGCUGGGGUGAGGUCUGCCAGUAGGGAACAGUAAAUACUUCUCACUGUGACUAGGGCACCACUAGUCACAUUGCAGCCAUCUUCCUCAAAACUCUUUCCAAAAGGUAGGUGCUUUCAUCCAUUCUCUCAAUGCUUUUGUAGCUAGCUCUUAAACCACAGCUUGCUGUGAAGUAAAUGGUUGCCUUUAUAAAGCUGUUGUCACUGAGCAUUCUUGGAAGUGGUCUAAGACUGAGAGGCAGAGUACAAGAGAAAGCAUGUUUAUGUAGCCCAGUGCCUGGGAGAAGUCUUAUGUUUUGACCUCUGCUCCUUGGGCUGUUUCUUUGCUUGCCAUUAAACAAUCAUUAGGUUUGGUGCCGAUGGGGAAAGAGUUAAGUGCUGAGUGAAAGCAGACACAGCUGACAAGGACAGAAAUAGGAAGAACAAAACAAUGCAGGGUGUGUGUGCAUGUGCGUGUGUGUGUAUGAAGGGUUACUACCUGUGCUGGAACUUGUGUGUUGCUACUGGAGGCAGAAUGGAGGGGCUUUGUAUCUUUGAACAAGGAUCAGGUAGGCAGAAGUGCCUGUGGCUUUCAAAUUAAAUUAAAACAUAGUGGUUUUUUUUUUCCUGCUUGGUGGGUUGUUAGGUGGCCAGAUAAUGGGGAAAAGGGGCAAGAGGAGAGGGGAAAAAGGAGAUGUAACACAUAUAUAUACAGACCUAGAGAGAUGUCCUGUCGAGUGGUGCUUAAUAUUACCUAUGCCUCCCACUCGAAAUGUGAACUGCAGACCAGAUUAGAUCAGGGAAUGCUAGCCAUGUCCAGUACAAAAUAUGUUUUGUUUAGUUUGGUUUCUUUUAUAACACAGAGAGAGGGAGCAUAAGUUCAGGGAGGUAAGUGAAAGUUCAGGGAGAUUUCUCCACAUUCAUGAAACCUGAGUUCAUAGUCGAGUUAUUGAGUCACAUACAGAUGAGGAUCUUGCCUGGUCAGUUCAAAAAAAAAGCAGUCCAGCCCCAUCCCCUUCCCCCUGUAAGCUCCUUGAUGUUCAGUAGGUGUGGUUGGGUGAAGAAAAGCCAGACCAAUACCAACAGCUGCAUGGAAUCUUUCCACGACUGAAAGGUGAAUAAUUAACUCUCUUAUAACUGCAGCCCCUCAGGGGGAGGUGAGUCACUAGCCCGAUUUAGAGUUAUGUUAUCUUGUAAUGAACAAUAAGAGGGAAAUCUAUACGUGUCUUGACAGUUCCAGUGAGACUUCGAUGAUCUGUGCCCCAAAAAUCUCAAAAAGGGAGUUGAUCAAAAUGCACUUCUAAGAAAAUAACUGAUUUUGUGCAUACAGUUCAUCAGUGGAUAAAGAAGAUCAUUUUUAUAGGGAUAUGAGAUUUCCUGAGCAUAAUGCUGAGGAUUAGAAAAGAAGGGGGGGAGGAGAUAGUUGUUUAGUUUUAACUGGCAACAUUGUGCCAGUAUCUAAGAUCAGAUACCAUCAGGGUGAGAAUUAAAUUAUUGUUGAGUCCAGUCAUGCUAAUACUGUUGUAUAUGGGUGCUUGGGAUAGAGUGAGGAGUCCACAAAAGGCUAAUAUUAAAAAUAAGCCUGCUGAUGGGUGACUUAAAAACCUACUAAUACAUUUUUUCUCAAUGGAUCUGAAUGUCCAAAGGGAAAUCUCCAGAAGCAUGCAAAUUCAGAAAGCUUAAAGUGCUAAGAAAUGGAAGCCAGGAUGCUAGACAGUGAUUCAGUGAUUUGAAAAAUCUUUGCAUACAUUAACUGUGCUUACUUGAGAAAAGCCAUAUAAAUUGAUUCUCCUCAUAUGGAAGGAAAGAAGACUAGAGCCCUUGGGUCCAGCACAAGGCAAUGCCCUUCCUGCCUCUCCUGGGGCUGCGGCCAGUUCAUUUCAGACCAUUUAAGUUCAGAAAGUGGCUCAUGGAAAAUACCCAUGUGCCACUUUUUACUAAACCUUGCAAAAGACAAGCGAAGUGGCUCUGUGCUCACUUUUUCUUGCUACUAAAUUGUUACUAGCUUCAUAGACCUGAUAAGACUGUUCCCCUUUGGUGGAUCAGCCCCACAUCGUCACAGCUGUAGAGGGUCAUUAGCCUUAUUCGUCAUUUCAACAUAUCAUGCAGUCAUGCUCUGAUGGAAGGAGCACUUCUUGAGUUUUUUUACUUUCCUCUAGCCAACUUAGAAGUAGUACUAAGUGACUCAGGAGGGAGUUGUGUUUGUGUCUUCCCAGAGGGGAAUGAAUCAGAUCCAUGUGUGAGGGGAAGCGGGUGACCUGAGUGAGUAAAUUAAGGGCUUUUUAGAGCUUUGGUAGGGGUUUAAAGAGGAAAAGAAGUUGCAGAGACUGCUUUAAAUUAUGUUGAUUUCCAAGAAGCCAUGACCCCUCUAUUAUCUGAGUAAAAGUAGGGUGUUUGCAAGCAGUACAUAAUAAAACAGGUAAUUCCAUAGAAAAAUGAAAAAGG